rnacentral:lncRNA from 1 species
CUCUUAAGGACUCAGCUCGUCUGUCUUUUUGGGGGAAGGCCUGAAAAGAAUGCUGAAAACAAGUGACCUGGCUGGAAUCUACCACCACGCUACUUCUCUGCUCCAGGACCUUCCAUGGCUCCCACUGGCUCACAGGCAAAAGAAGAGAUGAAGCACACAUUGCAAACACGCUUUGAUCCCUGCAGUGAGAUGAGCGUCAUGAUCAUGCAUGCUUCUCUUCUCCCUUCUCCGGGCCUUUUGAAGUCUACACUCUCCGCUGUGGGAUGGUCUCCUGCCCUACCAGGAGAGCUGGUCUCCACACCGACUUCAAAGACAGCUGAUGUUCCAGAGAAGAAAAACACUGCAAAGAAGCACUCCAAAAUCCUUUUGACCUCAAACAUGACUACAGAAUGGAUACAGCUUUUUAAAUAGCCACUUCCUGCAGCAUUCUAUAGUAUAAUGACCCUUAAAUGACACCCACGCAAAUUACAUAAUUUGCUAAAAUGGAAACCCAGUAAUUCCAUCUUACAUCAAAGUAAAGAAAAAAAAUACCAAACUUUAAAAAUCUGAAGCUCAAUUAAAUAGUAAUUAAAAACGAAAUAUAACUUUCACUUGUUCAAUAAUCCUCACAAUGUCCUAAAACUCUACAAAUGGAUGAAGUGAACAUGAUCUCAGAGAACUACCCACUACAUGUUUAGUAGGCUAGAAUAGACAACAACAUAGAAACUCGGAUCCGCUGGAAAUGAUGCUUUUUCUUUGGGCUCUGGUAUCUGAGGUGGCCAGCUCCUCAUCCCUCACGCCCUUCACUGGCACUGACCUGAGUACCUGCUGGAGACUGAAGCGCUCCCUCCUGGGCCAUGUCUCCUCUACCUUCCCCCUUUUCCACUGCCUCAAAGACAGGCCCCCUGGGAGCCCUUCUGGAACCUGAAGGAGGAGCUGGUCACUGUGUCAUGAUCAGCCACAAUGUGCCAUCCCUCCUCCAUAGCACAGCCACAAGUCCCCAGCAGGGGAGGGCACACAUUUUCCAGUCACAGAGAUCUGGAACGAAGCCCAACGACUGCUUAUUAGCUUUGCAGCCUAACUUCUCUGUGC